UGACAGAGAGUGGAGAAGGCUUGGUGGCCGUGAACAACGGUGAUUCUCUCGCGCUUGAGGAUGGUUCUGACGAUGGGAAGCGUUCCGUAGACGGUGGGGAAUGUGUUCUGCAUAGUGAAAGGUCUCCAGGGGACGUAGUAGACUUUGAGUCCGCCCGUCAUGUAUCGGACUCCGGUGCGGUUCCCGUAAGCAUGCGUCAUCACCACAACCUUCAAUUAAGCCAACCGAUUGUAUCUAAAUCACAUUUGAUUUCAAACGAUUUUUGAUCUCUGAGACUGACCUUGUGUCCGAGGUUUAAUAGGCAUUGGGAGAGAUAGUAGAUGUGAUUCUCGACUCCACCGAAGUUUGGGAAGAAGAAAUCGGAGACCAUUAGAACCCUAAGCUUUGGUUCCGCCAUUGAUUCCCAAGCUCUCAAGUUUCUGAUUCGUAAACGAAUCACUCUGAGAAUUCCAAAACGAAAGUGUUUAGCAAUUGGGCUUUAUAUAAAUGGGCUUGUAUUGGGCUUUGUGAAGAUCAGAAAUUACUAUAAUAUUGUGAUUUUUUUUGGAGGUAAACAUUUUAUUCACCGGCUAUAACAUGUACAUUCAAACACGCAAAAUCAAAUUCGAAUUUGUUUGGUUAACAUCGUACAGUAUAAAACUAUACUAAAUUAAUAAAUUGGUUUAUUCUGAUAUCCAAAAAUAAAGUAAUGAAUUUUUGGAGACGUAGUUUUAAAAAAUGAAGCAAGAAUCUGCCACAAGACCUAUGAAUAAUUAGUUUACUAUAUAUGAAAUGUGUUAUUUGUCGUUGGUUAAUGGUUAUGCAGACUCAACCUGUUUUGACCAAACAAACCUUAACUGGUUCAGGCUGUAAUGGCCUAGAUAUAGUCACUAACCGUCAUUGCGUCAUUAAAAACGCUGCAAUAUUUAACAAUUAUUGCAAUGUUUUGGCUAUAUUUUGCAUGAAUUAUAAGCGAGCAGAACAGAUCAAUAUUACUUAUUGGCUUAAAUAAUGCUGAUAUAUUUAUUAUCCUGUUACAGAACAGUUUAACAUUAAUUUGCAUUCAUGAAAGCUUAAGAAUAUAUGUUUACUAACUAGUAGUUUAAAAAAAAAAAAAUUUGAAGUUAAACGAUAUUCUUCUUGGUUGAUGUGCAUUUAACUCGGUAUACAUCUCAUCACACAUAGAUUAAAGUAUAGAAUAUUGAUCAAUUCAUCGAUCAUAGCAAGGUGUGCCCAAAAAAGGAAGCAUGAUCCAUUACGAAGGAUGUUUGCUUCCACUGCUAAUCUCAAUUUUUUAUUCUCACAUCUAAGAUCUCAAAUAGUAACAAAAUCAGAAACAUAACAUUGGAUUUUGGUAAAUGAAACACACAAAUUACUGCUGAAAACAAGUAACUAUCAUGAGAAAUUUUACGUUUAAAAAGUUGUAUAGAUCAGAAUAAAAGGAUUCAUGUGAGAUACAUUUUUAUUGUUAAUUAUCAACAUGCCACUUGUAUUAUACAGAAAAUGAAAAGAACAAAUGAAGGGAAAAAUUAAAAGGAUCAAUUACCACCACACAGUCAUAAAUUAGAAAUGAUCAAUAUACUCUUCUUGGUCUUCUUCUUAUUGUUUCCGUGACUUUUUGAUCCUGCGGUCCAAAUCCUCGAAGAACAUCUCGAUCUCCAGGCUCAGAUCAAUCGGUACAUGGUUAACAACAUUAACCGGUGUCACUUUUCUUUUUGGUCCGGGCUUUCUUGGAGCUGGUGGGCAUAACGUAUACUUCGCCGCUGGAAUCUUGUGAGCGGAAGACGUUGGAGUCUUGCACCCAUCGUCGUUAACAUAUUGGUUUGAAAACAUGUGAAGAUCUAAAUAUCAUUUACUAAGAGUAUAAAUUAAAUUACGUUAUUUACUCAGCAAAACUUAUAGGGAAAUGCGUUUGUGUAAAUACACUAUGAUAUUGUAAAGUGAUUAAUUUUAGGGAGUUGUCUUAUAUUAAUCCAUAAAUGAUGGUGUGAUUAGAUUAUGAUGUAUAGCAGUAAAAGACUAGAAGUACUAAGGGACAAUGAUUUCGUUAUGCUCUGCAGAUGGACGUUCUUUAUGACUCCCGAGAAGUGCUUUGUCUGCAACCUAACUACAAUUUUUUGCUUAUAUAUGGAAUUGCUUUAUAAUUUUCAUUUAUACAUGACUUAGUUAUAAUAAAUUGUUUUCAAGUGUAUAUUUAUAUAAUGUGUCUAGUGGAGAUCGACCCGCGCCAAGUGUAUCGUAUCACUAGAGUAAGUUGGUGCAAUGCAUGCAUGAUCGUCGAUAAUGCAUAUCGGUCUCGAUCGAAAACGACAAAACCAGAUUAGUCCACUCACGAUCUUGAUAAGUGAUAAGCGUCAAUUUAAAUUGCGUUUCCGUGUAGUACAUCUAGAUUAAACAUAAAAUCGUGAUUAAUAGUUUGGAUAUAUGUUCUCAGCAGUGUUUUUAUACGAAUUUUUCUUUACUAACUUGAAGACAAAUCAUGGAAUUUCAAUAACAGCGUCGGAAAGAAUAGGACUUGUUUUUUUCAAAAAAAAUAAAAAUAGGACUUGUAUAACUAUAAUAUUUCUUGAAAGAAACAUAAUAAAAGUGAAGUGAAAUCUAACGUCGUAACGACGACCGAAUCAAUGUCGGAACAAUGAGCCUUUGAACAAGACCGACGCGCCUUGGGAGAGAGCAAGAGGCUCGUGAUGCGUACAGACCACUAGGAGACAAAAGCAGCGGAGGCCCCAUGCGCAAAGAUCGAGAGAUUCGAUCUUGAACUCCACGCGCUCCAAUGCACGCGUGAGAGUUUGAGCCAAGAACAAACGCUACAAAAUCUCAAGACUUCUGUACUUGUGAUUUUUCUUACAUGUGACUGACAACCAAUCUCACUGCUUCAACACGUCAUCAAAUUAUUGUCUUUUUUUUUGUCAACAAAUUAUUGUCUUUUUAGCUUUACAAAAUUAUUGUUGUGAUUAAUUGUACCAAAAAACCAGAUAUAUUUUCUCUAUGCUGCUUAAUUUGCUUAAUUUAAUAAAAAUCAAUAUUUCGAUAUAUUUUAAUGUAUACAACACAUGCUCCUAAGAUUUUCUUAAGUGCUCAUGAUCUAAAAAUCUUGUGAUUGGCUACACGAACAUUAAAUUUGUUUGUUUUUGUAUUGCAAGCAAGUUCCUUAAGAUAAAAAAAAGUUCGAUAAGAUAUUGGUAGAGAAGGACACACUUAUAUGGAUGGGGAAUCUUCAUUUUACUUAUAAAAUUUGAUAGGACAACUUGAUAUUCAUCGCAUUCGCAUGUACUAUUUACCAUGUGGGUCAUAGGCUGGAUAUUCACAUAUUUGAAUAUUUGAAUCAUAUCAAUGCUAAUCUACAAAACAUAUUUUAUAUUUAAUGGGUUUAAAAAAAAAACUCAAAAUCAAUAAAGUGUCAAAUAAUCAUCAUAUUUAAUUAGUGAGUUUAUACUUUUUCUUGCAAUUAUAUACUGUAAACAUAUUUUGACGUAUACUUGAUAAAAUUUUUUUUAUCUCAUACUGUGUAAAAUUUGAUGUUAUAAUUUUAUAUUAUUUUAUUUUAGCUAUAUUCGAUAAUAAUUUGUUAGCAACAAAAAGAAGAGUACGUGAAUAUAUAUACGUUCUAUGAUCACUCGGUGUGAUGAAUUUUUUUUCCACUAAACUUUUAAUUUUAUUAAUGAUCAAAGUAAUCUUUUAUUAAUAUUUUGUUAUAGUAUGAAAUAUUGUUGAUAAACAAGAAUAUAUAGACUUCAUUAAUAAUCCAAAAAAUAGCGUAUCAUAGUGGAUAAUUCAAUGUAUUAUAUAAAUGAGAAAAUUUCAUAAAAAAUAUCUCAACUAAAUUUUGUUUAGGUUUUAAACGAAAACGUACAGUUUCAUUAGUUAUAUCAUUUCAUUCUUAUUUAUAUGUUGCAGAUUGAAGUCUCUUAAGUCCAAGUACCACAAACACACCCUCACCGUCACACUGCUUAUGAGUAAAUAUCAUCAGUCAAGCUAAAGGAAUCAGUCUCAGAAAAGUAAAAGCUGCGAAGUUACAGUAAAGAGAGGAUAAUCUUCACAGAAAACUAUACAUGAAAUCAUGGAUGCUGUACUGGCAUAUAGAAUUAUUUACUAUAAUGUAUUAUUGAAUACAAAAGGUAUAUAUAUCUCAUAUAUGUAUUCAUGUAUAAGUUAUUUCCAUAUGUUUUUUUUUUACUAAGUUAUUUCCAUAUGUUUAUAGAUGGGUUCGAUCGAUUUCUGAGCAAGAAGGUUCCAUGUUCUAAACUUCUAGUGACAAGUAAAAAUUGUUAGAUAUAGAAUAUUCUCAUAAUCUAUAUUUAUCACUAAAUAACUUGUGCAAUUAAUCCCUCUCAAAGCACACAAGCAUACACGACCAUAUAUACACACGCGAUUAAAGAAUCUCCAUGUACGGUAAGACUCAAAUAUAUGUGGGUUUUCAACUUUUUCCACGUGACAUUCAUAUGUUUUUGUCGUCGACAUAUACUUAACUUACCUAUAAAUAUCCAUAUUUGGACAAACAUAUUCCAGAUUCGCUGGUCCGGCUUCAUGGACUGGUAUGUACCAAAUUUUGCUAGCUACGCUAUAUAGCCUAUGACCGAAUCUAAGACUUCAAUACGAAUAAAAAUAUUUAUAAUAUGAAUAUACGAUCAAUAAAAGAAAGAGAAAACUCCAACCUUUCGUUUUUUUUAAAUAUUAUUAUUAUAUGAUUCAUCAUUAAUGUGAUAUUUGCAUUUUAGCAAAAAAAAAAAAGAAAAGAAAGAGAACUUGUUGAGUUAAGAUCGAGUCAUAUACAUCACCAAUAAAAUAUUUUCGAAAAAAUCAACGAACUUCAUUUACAAAAGAAAAAAUAAAUCAUCUGUUGUUUUUUUAUUACAAAACUUGGCCAACUCAACAAAAAAACAUAUUUUUUUUAAUGAAGUCUAUAUAUUCUUGUUUAUACAAAAUAAAAAAAAAAACAAAAUAGAAUUAAUCAUCAAGGAAGAGCUUCUAAAGAAAAUGGACGGACAUAAAAAAGGCUCUAACAAUCGAGGGAGCUGAAACUCUGCUUAUCACUCGUUUCUUUAACUUGAUAUUCUUCCUUGAGGCCCUCUGACAAACCUCCCUAAUUGCAGAAAUUGAUGUCGGGUGCCUCCUCAAUAUCAUCAUCAGGCUGAGGUAAGGCCAGUUCCAUCAAGAUAUUAUCAUUACCAAAUUUAGAAGAUAUAUAUAUAUAUAUUUUUUGUAACGCAAGGAUAAGAUAUAUAUACGCACCUGAAGUAACUGAAGUAACCGCCAAAGCAAGUAAUCAAUGAUCAUAACCAUACAGAAUACCUUCCCAGCCCACGCUCCACAUGACAGGAACCUAACCAACCAUCAAAUCUUUAUAUUACCUUUUCAUUGGUAUCAAUCAAUGUUGAUGAGCUAGAAUUAAUAAGCAUAUAAUUGUUGUACCGCGAUAGACGUUCUAGAAGAUUUCUGUUGGAACACUUCAAAGCACGGUCAUACACGAUCUCGGUUCUUUUGGCAACAUCUUGCCAACUGUACAGCUUCUUCAUCUGAUAGCAAACAAAAUACUGUAUAUCAAAGGCUUGGAACAAGUCUCCUUUUCUCUCUUAAUAAGUAGAUUGUGAUAUGUUAAAUCUUAUAUUUAGAGGAGUAACUCACUCGAUUGUGCAUCUCCUCCGGGUUAAUACUUGGAAGUAUUGAUAUCGCCUUUUCGAUUGCUCGUACCAUGUCAUCCGGAUCUGGCUCAGCAAGUACAACCAUGUCAUCCGGUAGUACCUACACAAAGACAAUGAGACCAGAGCAAGAAUGUAUGUAUAAACAAUAAGGUACAUGCCUCAGGGACACCUCCAACACGAGUGCUGACUGUUAAUAACCCGCAGCUAGCCGCCUCCAAGAUAGCUAUGCAGAAGGCUUCUGUUAAAGAACUGUCACAGGUUCAAAAAGAUGAACAGUUUCACAAAUCCAUGCGAUUCAUAAGUUGUAAGAACCAAUGCACACACACCUGUUAAGGAAUAUAUGACCGGUGACCAGAACAGAGCGCACACGAGAAUGAGGAACAGCACCAAGCAUCUCAACCCUAUCUUGGAGAGAAUGCUUCUCCCUCAUUUCCUCUAGCCUCACAUGCUUUGGUCCAUCCCCUCCAACUACAAAACGAACCUUUCACAAAACCAAAAAACAUAAAUACAGAUACAAAAGAAUAAUGAUUGGUUUACUUUGAACUCACAUUGGGGUAUAACCGGCACACUUCAGGGAUAACCUCAACAAGCAAAUCCGCACCUUUCCGAUAAACCAAUCUACUUAUAACAACUAUAGUAAUCACAUCAUCACUACUUGGCCUGACAUCAGCAGGCUUGAACAUAGCAGUAUCAACAGCAUUCGGAAUCAUAAAAACCUUCCCCGGAGCCAAUCCAGAUCUCAAAACCGUGUUCUCCUUACUCGUAUGCGAAACACAAAUGGCCUGGUCUAUAUCAGCUAAAGUAAACUGCAAGACCUUGUUCAUGUGGAUGCUCCCAACAUCAGCAAACCCGUAGAGGGAGUGAUCAGUGAAGACAACUCUGUAUCCCAUUGUUCUGGCGUGCAUCAAGGCUUCGUGACAGAGAGUGGAGAAGGCUUGGUGGCCGUGAACAACGGUGAUUCUCUCGCGCUUGAGGAUGGUUCUGACGAUGGGAAGCGUUCCGUAGACGGUGGGGAAUGUGUUCUGCAUAGUGAAAGGUCUCCAGGGGACGUAGUAGACUUUGAGUCCGCCCGUCAUGUAUCGGACUCCGGUGCGGUUCCCGUAAGCAUGCGUCAUCACCACAACCUU
rnacentral:lncRNA from 1 species